GACGAACGCGGCGGCGUGCCUAAUACAUGCAAGUAGAACGCUGAAGAGAGGAGCUUGCUCUUCUUGGAUGAGUUGCGAACGGGUGAGUAACGCGUAGGUAACCUGCCUGGUAGCGGGGGAUAACUAUUGGAAACGAUAGCUAAUACCGCAUAAUAUUGACUAUUGCAUGAUAGUUGAUUAAAAGGUGCAAUUGCACCACUACCAGAUGGACCUGCGUUGUAUUAGCUAGUUGGUGGGGUAACGGCUCACCAAGGCGACGAUACAUAGCCGACCUGAGAGGGUGAUCGGCCACACUGGGACUGAGACACGGCCCAGACUCCUACGGGAGGCAGCAGUAGGGAAUCUUCGGCAAUGGACGGAAGUCUGACCGAGCAACGCCGCGUGAGUGAAGAAGGUUUUCGGAUCGUAAAGCUCUGUUGUAAGAGAAGAACGAGUGUGAGAGUGGAAAAGUUCACACUG
rnacentral:rRNA from 1 species